GAUGAACGCUGGCGGCGUGCCUAAUACAUGCAAGUCGAGCGAACGGACGAGAAGCUUGCUUCUCUGAUGUUAGCGGCGGACGGGUGAGUAACACGUGGAUAACCUACCUAUAAGACUGGGAUAACUUCGGGAAACCGGAACUAAUACCGGAUGAUAUUUUGAACCGCAUGGUUCAAAAGUGAAAGACGGUCUUGCUGUCACUUAUAGAUGGAUCCGCGCUGCAUUAGCUAGUUGGUAAGGUAACGGCUUACCAAGGCAACGAUGCAUAGCCGACCUGAGAGGGUGAUCGGCCACACUGGAACUGAGACACGGUCCAGACUCCUACGGGAGGCAGCAGUAGGGAAUCUUCCGCAAUGGGCGAAAGCCUGACGGAGCAACGCCGCGUGAGUGAUGAAGGUCUUCGGAUCGUAAAACUCUGUUAUUAGGGAAGAACAUAUGUGUAAGUAACUGUGCACAUCUUGACGGUACCUAUCAGAAAGCCACGGCUAACUACGUG
rnacentral:rRNA from 1 species